AGGAAGAAGGACUAUGAGGAGGCAUCUGAGGAGAAUGCUUGGAGGCUGCUUGCUGAGGUUUCUCUUUCUGAAGCAAGAUUUGAGGAAGUGAAGGCUCUCAUCUUUGAAGCCAUUUCCUGCAGGGAUAAAGGCAGUGAGAACGAUGCUCAGGACUUGCUUGAGGAUGCAAAUGCCAACAACUCUCUUGAGGAAGUGGAUGCUAUUAACAAGGGCUCUCA
rnacentral:misc_RNA from 1 species